UACGGAGGAUCCGAGCGUUAUCCGGAUUUAUUGGGUUUAAAGGGUGCGUAGGCGGCCCGGUAAGUCAGUGGUGAAAGCCUCCAGCUCAACUGGAGAACUGCCAUUGAUACUGCCGGGCUUGAGUACAGACGAGGUUGGCGGAAUUGAUUGUGUAGCGGUGAAAUGCAUAGAUACAAUCAAGAACUCCGAUUGCGUAGGCAGCUAACUAGGCUGUAACUGACGCUGAGGCACGAAAGCGUGGGGAGCGAACAGG
rnacentral:rRNA from 1 species